CCACUGAAAGAACAGGGAGGAGAGGAGUGUGGCAGGGAUGGCUGGCUACUCACUGUAACCCAUGUGUCUUCUUCCUGGGCACGUCUCCCAGGCUCCCUUGCAGCUACGUGUGGUGGAUUGCUAGCCAGGAGGAUGUAUGAGCCAACGUGAUGUGGCCAUUAUCCAUGCAGCCUUUCAUGCGGGCUUUUCUGUGUUCCUUUCUCUUCCAGCUGACUGGGCUGGAGACCUCCAGGGAGACUCUCAUAUGUAAUUAGCAAAUCCUUCAUCAGCCUGGGUCUCUAAGUGACUGCGUGGAGCAGAGCAUUCCAUACCCUCAUCACCAACCAGGAUGACUUGAGAUUGCACUGGGCUCUUAAGCACAGCACAAAGUGAAGGUCAAUCAGCGCAUAAUUGUAGGAACAUUGCUGUGUUGAAAGCAGACUUCAUUACCCUCCGUAAGUGCUACCUGAUAUUGACUGAGACAUCAUAAGGAGAACAAAAGCUUAAUGCAUCCUGCAUAUUUUGCAAUGCAAUGUAUUGUCAUUACUGUGGAGGAUGUAUUAGAACUUCGGUUGGAAACGAAGCACCUUUCUAACAGCAUUUUGCACAGGAAUGUUGUAAUGGGUUUUGCAGACACAAAACAUACUGUCCAAAUCAUCAGAACCCACAUUUCCUAUGUUUUCUAUGAUCAGCUGCUAAGUCACGAUUCAGGCACACUGCAGUUCAAGCCACCUGCAAAUGUGAACCUCGUGUGUGUGUGUGUGUGUGUGUGUGUGUGUGUAAGUGUGAGCAAGAGACCUACAGAGACUGGACAGGGAAAUGAAAUGCCCAAAGGGAACCCUAAAUAGACCUCAUCCACUUGUACAAUUGGCAUCUCCAGUGUUAAGAUGAACUUGGGUGCCAAAAUACUUAACUGUCACUUAAACAGAAUAAAGUCCCACAUAACAGGAAAACCUACGUUGGAAGUAAGACCCAGUUCACACUGAGCUCCACGGGAAAGAGAAGGAAUUGAAUGUGCUCCUCCCUCUUAAGCAUAUCCAAGAGACAGCCAGUCCCGUAAGUUUCACAUCAACCUAGUUUGGCCUCUAAACCAAAUCGGCUGUAAUGCUAUUUGUGGAUAUAGAUUGCUGUCUUUUUCGUUACUGUUAUCAAAUGAUGCAUUUGCGGCUCAGCUCCAAACUCCUUGACCCUUAAGUGGAUUAGAUUGCCUGUUGCCUUUGUCCUUUUAGCUUUUGCUUUAUCCUCAAAUAGUCCACCCUUUCAUUCUAUGCAUCUAAUAUACAGACAUGAUUCUGCAUGGCGUGCAUAUACAUCUGCCUGCAAUUGCAAUUAGCCUGGCAACCCCAGCCCUCCUGUUUUUUUAAGAGGACUGUGUUCAAAUCUCUCAUCAGAGUCAUCAAUCCUCCCCUGCAGCACAGCAGCAGCUGAAACCCUCUGAGGAAUGGCAUGUCACAAGCCCAGCUCAGGGCUCCUUGUCGAGCUACACUCAGCAAAUUGAAGAUCAUGCUCCCUAUUAAGCUCUUGGCUGGUGCAUCACGGUAGACUCAUUUUCAAGAGCAGCUUACAUCCCCCACCCCACUUCGUCUUGUGAAUGAUAAUCACUACUCCAGCCCACAGGAGCUGCAGCAGAAAAAAUUAGCUCAGGGUAAGUCUUGAUGGUAUUAUUAAUGUGAAAACAGAUGCUCUUGUAGGGCUCAAGAAAAGCUGUGGGGAAACAAUUGAUGAGAGAGACAAAAGACCAAUGAGUCAGUCCUGACUCUUGAAGCCAAGGGAUAACGCCAGUGGGCUUCCAUGAUUGGCCAAACAUUUAUUGAGGGUCCACCAUGUGUGAUGUACUGUGUUGGGUAAUGGGGAUGCAGUGGUUGAGUGAGACAAGCAUUCUCAGAAGCAGCUACUCAAGGAGCUGUAGAGUUGGGCAAGUAAUCAUAGUAAAGAGUAGUAGCAAUUGCUAUGAUAUGUGCAUUUACAAUUAAACAUUCAGAAGGGGCCCCUAACAUAUUCUUGGGAAAUCAAGGAAGACUGCCUGGAGGAGGUGACAUUUGGGUUGCAGCAUGGCAGAGGGGUAGAAGAGCUCUUUUCCUAGGAGAGCUCUGGGUUUUUGGUAGGUGAUAAAGAAUACUUGGUAGCUUGCCUCCACGUGGCCACUGUUAGCUGGAUAAUCCCAUGGGCAGAGAAGCCUGGUGGGCUACAGUCCAUGGGGGUGCAAAGAGUCGGACACGACUGAGCAACUAAGCACAGCACAGUUGCUUUACAAUGUUAUAAGAGUUUCUGCUGUAUAGCACAGUGAGUCAGCUAUACCUGUACACAUAUCCCCUCUCUAUCACCAGAGAGCACUGAGUCGGGUUCCCUGUGCUGUACCGUAGCUUCUCGUUAGUUAUCUGCUUUAUAUACAGGGGCAGUAGAAUCCCUCUGCUUGAAGCUUCCCAACAAAUAUUUGUUAAACCAUGGCUGAGACUCCACUGAAAUCCUCACCAAUAACCAGGAAGUAUUUCCCCAGCAGACCUUUCUCUCUUACAUGCCCGUAUUUCAUAGAUUCACCUGCUCUCCCAGUGACACCUGAGGAAGGUGUGAGGACACAGUCCCGCUCACCUUGAGACCUCCUCCUCCUGAUCAUCGGUGUUCUCUUGACUUCUUAUCCAGCAUUCCCUGGUGUUGAGGGGAGGAGUGUGGGAAUCAUGGCACAAAGAACUGCUGUGCAAAAGCUGCAGGUUGGCUCUGAUGGUUAAUCUCCCAUGGAAACCUUUUGUUUAAGCGAUUAAGAAUUUGGGUAGAGGGCAUUUAUAAGGAUUAAUGGCCAGGUGUUAAAAACCUGAUUGCUUACAACCUUGUCAAUGACUGUUUAUCAGCAGGAAAUGACCUGCUUCAAGGUGACUGAUAAUAUUUACUCGGAAAAUUAGAUGAACAAGGGCACAGGUACAUUUUGAGGGAUUCAAGGCUGACAGUAUAGAGAGGCUGACAGUCUUAGGCAAGACUAGCUUCUGGAUUUGCUCGUUGAAGCAUUUUGCUCUUGGUUUUACACAGAGGAGCUGUUCGUAAACAUUCUUUUAAGGGUAUUAUAAAGGGCUAAAGUCAAGAAAUGAGAAACGUAUCGGUAUCACUGUUGUUCAGAUAUUUAAUGUUCAGCAGGAAUUUGAAAUUAUAUGAGGCAAUGGAAAGCAUAAUCAAAAUUAGCACCCUGAUGCUAAAUCGGAUGUUGUCAUUUCUUACCUGCAUGACUGUGGACAAGUCACUUCACUUCCAAGUCUAUUCAUGUAUAAAAUGAGGCUUGUGGAAGAAGUGAUCCCAUAGGUAUUCCCAGCCCUGUCGUUUUGCAAGUAUAGCUGCCGAUUAUUAUCAUCUGGAGAAAAUUUGAUGCAGUCAGAAAUAUGAUAUUGUAUCAGUGUAAUGCUAUUUUUUUUCUGAGGCAGCCAAAGAGUUCUGCACACAUUGGUCACAUGGACUACUUGGC
ensembl:lncRNA